rnacentral:snRNA from 1 species
CAACUCUGGCUCCUUUGCGUUCAACCGAGGAAUCAUUUCGCCUUUCACUAAAGGGGUUCCGUGCAAAGGUGCAUAUAUGAGAAUAUAACAAUUUUUGGAAUUCCCUCGAAAGAGCUU